GUCGAACGCUGGCGGCGUGCCUAAUACAUGCAAGUCGAGCGAGCGGCGGACGUGUUAGUAAUGUAUGUGGAUCUGCCUGAUGGAUAGGGAUAACUACUGGACACUGUAGCUAAUACCGCAUACCAUCGGAUGAACCCAUAUGGGAUUAGCUUGUAGUUGGGGUAACGGCUCACCUAGGCGACGAUCCGUAGCUGGUCUGAGAGGAUGAUCAGCCAAACUGGAACUGAGACACGGCCCAGACUCCUACGGGAGGCAGCAGUGGGGAAUAUUGGACAAUGGGCGAAAGCCUGAUGCAGCCAUGCCGCGUGUAUGAAGAAGGCCUUCGGGUUGUAAAGUACUUUAAGUUGGGAGGCGUUACCGACAGAAGAAGCACCGGCUAACUCCGUGCCAGCAGCCGCGGUAAUAC
rnacentral:rRNA from 1 species